AGGCCCUAGAAACCAGAAGAGUGCAGUUAGAGACCAUGAGAAUUCCAAAGCAGCAGCCAUUCACAGUCUACUUGGAAGAUUCUCUAAUUGGCUUACUUCUGAACCCUUCAAAAGGUCAGAGAUGGGGCACUUGGGCACAGAGUCCAGAAGAGCAGAGGCCAAGACAAGUGGCUGGGCAGAAGUCUAGAAGGAAUUCAGAUACCCGUUUGGAGAAAAUCCUAUGUUUUUAAAGAUGGCAGUCACAGAUGGCACAGACUGCCUGAGAAGACCACACUCUGGAGAAAUGACCAAGAAAACAGUCAUUUGAAAGUUGAUUUGGGACAGACACCGCACUGAGAAGAGAUGAAUUCUCCACGUUUGCCCUCCAGUGUUGAAAUUCCUCAAUCUCCAAGGAUUUUAAAAACAGGUAAAAAAAAAAAUGAUAUGCAAAUUAUACCGAGUCUAUCAACCUACCAAAGUUUUAUGUGUAACCUUGGAGAAGACGAAGGACUCAGAGAAUAACUUCCCAUACAGAUUAUUUUCUUAAGCUACUUUUGGGGAGCAGGGAGCUCUUGGCCAAUCAAUCAGAUUGGUGGAAUCAGGGGCUUAAAAUUUGUCACCAGGGUCACAUGAGGCUUGAGAGGUCUGCAUUUUAAAAUACAAAUUGCAAAGGUUUUUGGGAAAGGCUAGUAUCCAUCAGUUCAUUGUGUCAUCAGAACCCCCAGUUUGUCUCUGAUACCCCAGCUUUCUUCAAGCAAGCUGUCCACAGUAUGUGCUGGUAGCUAUGACACCAACAGACAAGUCAUGAGGUCUGGCCUGUCUCUUCCUUUCAAAGGCUCCUUGAUUUAUAUCAUCUUAAAUACGGUUUGAAUGAGUUGUUUUUAACUUUUGCAACUGACAUUGUCAUGUACUACCAGUCCUCAUUAAAGUCUGAGCUCUUGAGUGAAAA